GAACUAAUCAGCAGAGGAAAGGAGGUCAAUCUGAAUAUGGAGGAUCACCGCACAGAGGAUUAUGUCCAACCCAAAGUCUCUGUUAAACCUUUUACAGGUGAAGGCCACAUGCUAGGAAGUCCUGCACCAUCUUUAGCAAAAUCUCCUUCCUCGGGCUCCAGUGCCUCUGGCAACACAGAAGAUGCAGCUAAACAACGGGUCAAGGUCAAUGACAGUGCCCCAACCACAAAUCUCCAAGUCAGACUAGCGGACGGGUCAAGAUUAGUGGUAAAGUUGAACCACACACACAAAAUCAGCGAUGUCAGGAAUUACAUAACCAUAGCCCGUCCCGAGUAUGCCUCAGCCAACUUCGUACUGAUGACUACAUUUCCAAACAAAGAACUCACAGAUGAAAACCAAUCCUUAGCUGACGCCAAACUUUUAAAUGCAGUGAUUGUGCAAAGAAUGAAAUGAUUAUUUCAACAUUUGAACUUAGUCAUGAAUUUCUCCUCUCAGAGUUAUCUCCCUUUGGGUAUAAUUUAAAAAACAAAACUAUGUAGCUUUCUUGUUCAUUCUUGUCUCAUUUAGCAUUUUAUUUAGCAAAUUAUUUUUUCAAAUAUUUUUUUGAGAUGUUUUUUAAGCAAUAAAUUGAAAAACAAAAAUUAAAGUAAAGCACACAAUUCAAGCCAAUCUUAUUUGCUGUUAGUGGUGCAUGUAUUCAUUCAUAUUUAAGUUGGCCUUUAUUGUAGAGGCUGGUUUACUGAUUAUUUCUUGUUCAUGAACAGAUUGUUGUCAAGCCAUGAUGAGAAUCAUGUCAAUAAAAUUGUUGAAAAUGAU
rnacentral:misc_RNA from 1 species